GUAUUAUAGUUCACAGAGAGUGACGAGGCCUUUUUGUAAUGACAAGAUUAGGUGAUUGUAGCUGGAGGCAGCUGGACUGCAAGAAGGGAGACCGGAGGUAAGGAGUCCAGCCGGGAGCCUUACGGCCAUAGAAAAGAGAACUAAAGCGGUCCUGAACCACAGCGGCAGCAGGAAUGGAGAGGAGGCGAGUCACUGGGGCUGGAGGUGACGGGAUGCAGGAUGAGGAACAGUGUCCACAGCUCACUCAGCUCACCCAAUAAACCCUGAGGGUCUGCUUCACUUUUUCCUUCCCGCACAAGCGUCACACUGACAGUCUGGCCUUUCCAAACCACCACUGGCAACUUCAACUGAACUGAUCAUAUGUCAACUAAUUCUAGGAGGCCAGUCCUGAUCCCAAGAAACGAUGACAUUGUCCACAUUGGAAAUCACAAACCUCGUCUGCCAAGUUGGACUCAUCCCACAGGAGCAGAAACUAUGCCUGAAGCGCUGGCAGCUCUGUCUCCCCCAGUUCGCACAGCAAUGGGGAGUUUCAGCAGAACCAGUCCUGGUCUCUAGCCCAGCCCAGUCCCCGCCCACGACCCCUGCAAUGCCAGAGGCAGAGGAUCCGGGGUGCUGGAAGCUGGAGGAAGAGGUGGGGGGACCGUCACUCGCUCACGCUCCAAAGACCCUGAGGAGAAUCAGUGAGUAACGAUCGGCUCCCCAGUCAGCCAGAAAAAAUAGGGCAAGCUCAGCUUGAGGAAGCAUCCAGCACAGCGCCCCCCACGUGACCAGCCAGACCUGGGGCGGCGGAGUGGACAGCUUCAUAUAAAGAACCCCGUUGCCACGUGGUGGAAACGCGAGGGGGCAGUGUUCUGGUUUCCUGGGAGGCAACGGCCAUCUUUGCAUAUUUCUGUGUUAUCACAUUGACUUGGGGAGUUCGACACCGUUUGUCAGACCGGGUAGGAAAACACAGCAGCCAGGCCUUCAAAACAGGGCGCCUUUGUGCACAGCUGACACCCUGGCCUGGAGCCCGGCUUAGCUUCGGGGGAGGAUUUAGGUCAGAAGGAAAAUGGGAGGCGGGCGGCUGCAGGCUUCAAAUCUGUUUUAGGCAAGAUUAGGGAGAUGUUUCCCCUCUUCCCACUGGCACACCUACACCCGCAGGGGCAGGGGCAGGGGCCGGCUGGUCUUACCUUCGUAAUUAUGGCUGACUUUGAGGAGCAAACAUUAGUAGGCCUCGUCAGCCCUACAGAAGAGCUAUUUGGCAAAUUCCCAUCGUGCUGGAAAUUCCCCAGGCCGUUUUGUUAGGCCAUCGCCUCUUUCCAGUCAGCUGGACUCGGAAAGUCCUCAGUUACCUCUGCGGAGCGUGCAGACCUGCGCAAAGAGGGACGUGCCGCGAGGCAAGCUUCAGCCAACAGGGGAGGUGGCCACAGAGCCGCGGGUGAUUUCCAAAGCCAACGAGCUUCAAGAGGCAGAAGGGAUGCUGUCUCGAGUCAGGGAGCGCUUGAGGGCUGUGUCUGCUUUAUAUUAAGUUCAUUUUCCACGGCUAUUCAAGAGACACUACUCAAAGGGGGUCCAUGAGAAGCAGCCCCUUCAGGACCUGUGGCCACGUUUUCCCUUUAAGCGCCCUUUCCAAAAGGCUCCUUUUCACAAGAGAUCAGCUAGCAGCUGUACCUCGAAGGCCAGUUCUUCUCUUCCACGUGCAUUUAUAGCGCUGGUAAACAGGCCCCAGUUUCCCGCGUCCUUUAUGAAAAGGGCUCACCUGCGCCGACGGGCCCAGCGGGCUGCCCCGCGACGCUGUGCUGCAGGCCUCGCCCGCCAUCUUCUGGAAGAAGGCGGUACUGCUGCCAGGGAGAAGCUUCUCCUUGGGUCCAGGCUUCCAGAACAAACUAGAAAAUCAACCAGGGAAGGGCCACAAAAACACUACUCUCGACUGCCAAGAACCGGGAAUCGCUUUCAUUUUCUCCGGCAAAGAUGCUCUUAGCGAUAUAUUUCUUUGUUGUUGUUUUUUGAUCAUUUCCUGUGUGCAUUGCUUCACUCGUGGCUCAACAAGCGUGUAGUUGAGCACCUACUGUGUGCCAGAUGCCAGGCAAGGUGCUGGGGUAGAGAUGAAGCAGACACCCACAUGCUUAAAAAAAAACCAAAGUCU
ensembl:lncRNA